UGGGGAAUUUUGGACAAUGGGCGAAAGCCUGAUCCAGCAAUGCCGCGUGUGUGAAGAAGGCCUUCGGGUUGUAAAGCACUUUUGUCCGGAAAGAAAUCCUUGGCUCUAAUACAGUCGGGGGAUGACGGUACCGGAAGAAUAAGCACCGGCUAACUACGUGCCAGCAGCCGCGGUAAUACGUAGGGUGCAAGCGUUAAUCGGAAUUACUGGGCGUAAAGCGUGCGCAGGCGGUUUGCUAAGACCGAUGUGAAAAUCCCCGGGCUCAACCUGGGAACUGCAUUGGUGACUGGCAGGCUAGAGUAUGGCAGAGGGGGGUAGAAUUCCACGUGUAGCAGUGAAAAUGCGUAGAGAUGUGGAGGAAUACCGAUGGCGAAGGCAGCCCCCUGGGCCAAUACUGACGCUCAUGCACGAAAAGCGUGGGGAGCAAAACAGGAUUAGAUACCCUGGUAGUCCACGCCCUAAAACGAUGUCAACUAGUUGUUGGGGAUUCAUUUCCUUAGUAACGUAGCUAACGCGUGAAGUUGACCGCCUGGGGAGUACGGUCGCAAGAUUAAAAACUCAAAGGAAUUGACGGGGUCAUAGCUGUUUCCU
rnacentral:rRNA from 1 species